GGAUUGUCCCUGUAAUAAGUGCUCUGUAUAAUACAUUGGUACUCAGAAGGUUGCUGGUUUUAUACCCACAGUCACCACCAUUGUGUCCUUGAGUAAGACACUUAACUCCAGGUUGCUCCGGGGGGAUUGUCCCUGUAAUAAGUGCUCUGUAUAAUACAUUGGUACUCAGAAGGUUGCUGGUUCGAUCCCCACAGUCACCACCAUUGUGUCCUUGAGUAAGGCACUUAACUCCAGGUUGCUCCGGGGGGAUUGUCCCUGUAAUAAGUGCUCUGUAUAAUACAUUGGUACUCAGAAGGUUGCUGGUUCGAUCCCCACAGUCACCACCAUUGUGUCCUUGAGUAAGACACUUAACUCCAGGUUGCUCCGGGGGGAUUGUCCCUGUAAUAAGUGCUCUGUAUAAUACAUUGGUACUCAGAAGGUUGCUGGUUCGAUCCCCACAGUCACCACCAUUGUGUCCUUGAGUAAGACACUUAACUCCAGGUUGCUCCGGGGGGAUUGUCCCUGUAAUAAGUGCUCUGUAUAAUACAUUGGUACUCAGAAGGUUGCUGGUUCGAUCCCCACAGUCACCACCAUUGUGUCCUUGAGUAAGACACUUAACUCCAGGUUGCUCCGGGGGGAUUGUCCCUGUAAUAAGUGCUCUGUAUAAUACAUUGGUACUCAGAAGGUUGCUGGUUUGAUCCCCACAGUCACCACCAUUGUGUCCUUGAGUAAGACACUUAACUCCAGGUUGCUCCGGGGGGAUUGUCCCUGUAAUAAGUGCUCUGUAUAAUACAUUGGUACUCAGAAGGUUGCUGGUUCGAUCCCCACAGUCACCACCAUUGUGUCCUUGAGUAAGACACUUAACUCCAGGUUGCUCCGGGGGGAUUGUCCCUGUAAUAAGUGCUCUGUAUAAUAUAUUGGUACUCAGAAGGUUGCUGGUUCGAUCCC